UUAAGCGACUAAGCGUACACGGUGGAUGCCCUGGCAGUCAGAGGCGAUGAAGGACGUGCUAAUCUGCGAAAAGCGUCGGUAAGGUGAUAUGAACCGUUAUAACCGGCGAUGUCCGAAUGGGGAAACCCAGUGCAAUUCGUUGCACUAUCGUUAACUGAAUACAUAGGUUAACGAGGCGAACCGGGGGAACUGAAACAUCUAAGUACCCCGAGGAAAAGAAAUCAACCGAGAUUCCCCCAGUAGCGGCGAGCGAACGGGGAGCAGCCCAGAGUCUGAAUCAGCUUGUGUGUUAGUGGAACGGUCUGGAAAGUCCGACGGUACAGGGUGAUAGUCCCGUACACCAAAAUGCACAGGUUGUGAACUCGAAGAGUAGGGCGGGACACGUGGUAUCCUGUCUGAAUAUGGGGGGACCAUCCUCCAAGGCUAAAUACUCCUGACUGACCGAUAGUGAACCAGUACCGUGAGGGAAAGGCGAAAAGAACCCCGGCGAGGGGAGUGAAAAAGAACCUGAAACCGUGUACGUACAAGCAGUGGGAGCACCUUCGGGUGUGACUGCGUACCUUUUGUAUAAUGGGUCAGCGACUUAUAUUCUGUAGCAAGGUUAACCGUAUAGGGGAGCCGCAGGGAAACCGAGUCUUAACUGGGCGUUAAGUUGCAGGGUAUAGACCCGAAACCCGGUGAUCUAGCCAUGGGCAGGUUGAAGGUUGGGUAACACUAACUGGAGGACCGAACCGACUAAUGUUGAAAAAUUAGCGGAUGACUUGUGGCUGGGGGUGAAAGGCCAAUCAAACCGGGAGAUAGCUGGUUCUCCCCGAAAGCUAUUUAGGUAGCGCCUCGUGAACUCAUCUUCGGGGGUAGAGCACUGUUUCGGCUAGGGGGUCAUCCCGACUUACCAACCCGAUGCAAACUACGAAUACCGAAGAAUGUUAUCACGGGAGACACACGGCGGGUGCUAACGUCCGUCGUGAAGAGGGAAACAACCCAGACCGCCAGCUAAGGUCCCAAAGUCAUGGUUAAGUGGGAAACGAUGUGGGAAGGCACAGACAGCCAGGAUGUUGGCUUAGAAGCAGCCAUCAUUUAAAGAAAGCGUAAUAGCUCACUGGUCGAGUCGGCCUGCGCGGAAGAUGUAACGGGGCUAAACCAUGCACCGAAGCUGCGGCAGCGACACUAUGUGUUGUUGGGUAGGGGAGCGUUCUGUAAGCCUGCGAAGGUGACCUGUGAGGGUUGCUGGAGGUAUCAGAAGUGCGAAUGCUGACAUAAGUAACGAUAAAGCGGGUGAAAAGCCCGCUCGCCGGAAGACCAAGGGUUCCUGUCCAACGUUAAUCGGGGCAGGGUGAGUCGACCCCUAAGGCGAGGCCGAAAGGCGUAGUCGAUGGGAAACAGGUUAAUAUUCCUGUACUUGGUGUUACUGCGAAGGGGGGACGGAGAAGGCUAUGUUAGCCGGGCGACGGUUGUCCCGGUUUAAGCAUGUAGGCUGGUUAUCCAGGCAAAUCCGGAUAAUCAAGGCUGAGGUGUGAUGACGAGGCACUACGGUGCUGAAGUAACAAAUGCCCUGCUUCCAGGAAAAGCCUCUAAGCAUCAGGUAACAUCAAAUCGUACCCCAAACCGACACAGGUGGUCAGGUAGAGAAUACCAAGGCGCUUGAGAGAACUCGGGUGAAGGAACUAGGCAAAAUGGUGCCGUAACUUCGGGAGAAGGCACGCUGGUGUGUAGGUGAAGUCCCUGCGGAUGGAGCUGAGACCAGUCGAAGAUACCAGCUGGCUGCAACUGUUUAUUAAAAACACAGCACUGUGCAAACACGAAAGUGGACGUAUACGGUGUGACGCCUGCCCGGUGCCGGAAGGUUAAUUGAUGGGGUUAUCCGUAAGGAGAAGCUCUUGAUCGAAGCCCCGGUAAACGGCGGCCGUAACUAUAACGGUCCUAAGGUAGCGAAAUUCCUUGUCGGGUAAGUUCCGACCUGCACGAAUGGCGUAAUGAUGGCCAGGCUGUCUCCACCCGAGACUCAGUGAAAUUGAACUCGCUGUGAAGAUGCAGUGUACCCGCGGCAAGACGGAAAGACCCCGUGAACCUUUACUAUAGCUUGACACUGAACAUUGAGCCUUGAUGUGUAGGAUAGGUGGGAGGCUUUGAAGCGUGGACGCCAGUCUGCGUGGAGCCAACCUUGAAAUACCACCCUUUAAUGUUUGAUGUUCUAACGUUGGCCCCUGACCGGGGUUGCGGACAGUGUCUGGUGGGUAGUUUGACUGGGGCGGUCUCCUCCCAAAGCGUAACGGAGGAGCACGAAGGUUAGCUAAUCCUGGUCGGACAUCAGGAGGUUAGUGCAAUGGCAUAAGCUAGCUUGACUGCGAGCGUGACGGCGCGAGCAGGUGCGAAAGCAGGUCAUAGUGAUCCGGUGGUUCUGAAUGGAAGGGCCAUCGCUCAACGGAUAAAAGGUACUCCGGGGAUAACAGGCUGAUACCGCCCAAGAGUUCAUAUCGACGGCGGUGUUUGGCACCUCGAUGUCGGCUCAUCACAUCCUGGGGCUGAAGUAGGUCCCAAGGGUAUGGCUGUUCGCCAUUUAAAGUGGUACGCGAGCUGGGUUUAGAACGUCGUGAGACAGUUCGGUCCCUAUCUGCCGUGGGCGCUGGAGAAUUGAGGGGGGCUGCUCCUAGUACGAGAGGACCGGAGUGGACGCAUCACUGGUGUUCGGGUUGUCAUGCCAAUGGCACUGCCCGGUAGCUAAAUGCGGAAGAGAUAAGUGCUGAAAGCAUCUAAGCACGAAACUUGCCCCGAGAUGAGUUCUCCCUGAGACUUUAAGUCUCCUGAAGGAACGUUGAAGACGACGACGUUGAUAGGCCGGGUGUGUAAGCGCAGCGAUGCGUUGAGCUAACCGGUACUAAUGAACCGUGAGGCUUAACCUU
rnacentral:rRNA from 1 species